AAGGAGGCAAAAACAUUUUUACAGUCCUGUAAAGUGCCUGUUGCUAGAAAUUAUUUUCACUUUGUUCCUGAGAAGUAUGCCAAGUUUACUGGAGAGCUAGCAUGCUGAUUUAUUUAUAUAAUAUGAUAUAAGCAGAGGAGGGGGCAAUGUGUUUUUGACCCAGCUGAUUUUGCUGAAUUUGCUCUGAUAUGCUGAAAAGACUUACUGAUUUAUUAAGCUAGAUUUAUCUAGCUACUUGGAGGAAUACAAGGGGCCUUUGCUUGCUGUCUGCAUCUUUACUUCCCAAAGUUGCAGCACAGAAUAUCCAUUAUCUAUGACAUACCAUUUGGUCAGGAAAAAAUCCCCUUUAGUUUAAAGGCCAGCUAUGGCAUAUGACACACCUCUUCUUAUUGACCAUAUUUUGACAACUGUUUACCUGAACUGAUCUAAAUAACGGUGUACAACUGCCACUGUUCCUCCCUCUCUGGAUUGCAGUCUGGUUCUCGAGCAGAGAAAUAUGAAUAUUGAGCCUUUAGUUCAAGCAAAUUGGAAUGGGUUAACUAUAGCUCUACAGCACAAACAAGGUCUGCAAUGUGAACUUAGAGAAUUUCUCACUUAGCAGUCAGGAGGACGGUUUGCCUAUUUCACCAAGAGUUCCUAAAACAUAAUAAAUAAAGCAUAGAGAAAGCAAGUGUUUUCCUAAAUGGGAUCACCCUGCUCUUUCCAGCUUUCUGAGGAAUAGAAUGUUUUGAUGAAAUAAAUUAUGAUUUAUACCAGAUAAUUUUACUACUUACCAGCUGCCACCUUAUUUACUGUCAUUUUUAUCUCUUCAGAUGUGAAUGCUUUGUCUUUCUUGAGAAUAUGCAUUUGGUAAAGGAGAAUAACAAAAAAUUCAGUGAAUAAUUUCUAUGAAUCAGGGGUGCUCUAAAAGAAAAUCAGCACUUUUAAUUUUAAAGCAAACCAUCAAGAGAGGGCACUACGAGAGUAGUACUUUGAAAUAACAUCCAGAUUCUUUUCUUUCAGAGACCAUUGAGAUAACAAAGGAUCAUUUCCUUUGGUUCAGUGGAUAGGUAAAUAACCAGCGACAAGCAUGGAACUGACCAGAAAAAGGUGGCAUUUAAGUCCAGCUCUCACCUCAUCAUGUGCUGUCUACUGUUUAAAACUAAAGGCCUCAACUGCAGUGAAUAGAAGCAGGCGUGGCAGGAGGGAGCCUGAGCUUUCCGGUGGAACACAUGACAGCAGGGACCUGCUCCAGGCAUUUUCAAGAUCAGUUCCUUGGGCUGCUCUAAGGCAACAAAAGUAUGCCAGGAGUCUCAACAGGGGCAUCUGCAAACUGGACUGGAGAAUCUUCACGACUCAGGUUGUUUAGAGAACAGUAAUUAUGCGUGGAGUUGCUGGUUUUGUGUGUCUGUAUAAGCCUGUGCUAGACUCAUUCACACCUGGUACUCUGAACAAAGGCAGUCUAAGCUCAGGUAAUCUGCAGAAAUGCUGUGGGUUCACACAACCUGAUUUCAGAGGGCAUACUUGUAUUUCUAAUUAAUAAUAAAAAAAAAAGUCCCUGAUGUUAAGAAAGACUUAUAUUGGGAAUAUAAGGGGCACAUAUAUGGCUUAUAUUCACAUUAGCUGGGGCUAGUUCCCUCUUGAGCAUACUCCCACAUUCACAUCAAGCAGUCCUCCUUGGACUCUUUCUGGUGCCCCUAUAGAUCCAACUUGCCAUUCUGGGUUUUUUUGUGUUAUCUUUUUAGAUAAUUUGAAGUAUCUGAAAUUACGUGACACUGUAUUACAGGCUGUGAGAAGGGUGCUUUCCUAGCAUGAAAGUGAGGGGGUGUGUUAUAUGUUUUGGCGUGUGGUCACGUUUGAGGGUGCACAGCUCGAGCAGUUUAGAAGAGCAGGCAGCAUGAAGUCAAACAAGAUGUGAUAUCAGGAGCAGUGCUUGAUGCAGACUCUCCCUGCAGCAGUGGGCAGCCAUUGCUUGAAAGAGGGCUUGGUGGAACAUGGGGAGGUAAUGAAGAGUUGUGGGGAGCAGCAGCUGGGGCUUGAGCUUGCUCCCCAGCCUGCCACAGUAAGGACGAGCUCAGAGGAUCCCAAGCAUCUGCCUGCUGCUGGAGCCACCGUGGCAUGGUAAAGCACAGACAGGCGUUUUGGCUGCAGGAUAAAGGCAUCACUGUAUUUCCUGUGUCAUUUCCACAAAGUCAUGACUUAAAAUCUUGGUCAUAUUGAAACAAAACACUGACCAAGUUCCAGCAAUUCAAGCUUUUGUCCUUGCACUGGACAAGGACUGGCUAAGCACUGUGUAGGUACUAACCACUCUUCUCUUCACAGGCCAUUGUGUGCCUUACCAGUGGCCUCUUUGGGCUCACUUCAAAUCUUUCUUCAACAAAUAUGGCCACAUAAAGUCCAUGAAUUAUAACCCAUGCAGCCAAGAUACAGCAUGUUUAUUUUAGUAGAUUUGGUACAAAUAUAUGCUCUAGAAAGGGAGUUUCUCUGCCAUUUUUCUAACCUCUGCUUAUGGUAAACUCCCCAUGAAUUUUGCUUGCACUGGUCUUCUACUCUGGAUAGGAAAUCCUAUUUCUUAAAAUUCUAAAUUUUGUGGAACUCACUGCCAACCUCAGUUUCCCCAUCACCAAUGCCAGGAUUUUAACUGUAUGAAAAAUAGCAUGUGGGAAAGGGAGUUCUAUAAACAUCUAUUCUUGGAAAAUAACAAGUGAACCCAUACUGAAACCAGUCAGGAUUAAAAAUUAGAAAAUAAAUUUAAAAAGAAGGAUAUGAAGCCUUAUGCUACUUAUACCAACCAAAUGUUAAUUAACUAGGGGUCAAGGAAAAUUUUUUUCCUCAAUUAUUCAAUUGAAAUCGUCAGUGUGUCUUAAUGUCUUAACUAAAGCAGAUGGUGAGGAUCACUACUGCAGCACAGUUCUGAUGCAGUGUAACUCCUGCUGAUGUUAACUUCAGAAAAAUGCUACUUGGCUUAUUAUUUGUUUAAACAAAUAAAACAUAUUUGAAUGAGAAACUUGCAGUGUUUAAGAAACUUUAGCAGUGUUUAGAAAACUUAGUGCUAAUGACUAGCAGUGUUUAAGAAACACUGAUCUUUGCUUGAAACUGUUAAGCUCUGUUUUGUUACCAUUAGUGAGUAGGAAAUACAUGUUUGUACAGUAUCCUGCUUUAAUAGUUUAAUCUUUUACUUAGGUUAAAUGUUAUUCUACCUGGUAAUAGCUUAAUGCAGUAGCCUAAUUCAACAAUCACUUUUCACUGUUCAUUGAAUUUUUUUGUGGUACUUACCUGAUUAGAAUUUUAUUAGUUCUAGCAGAAAAGAUGCUAAAAAACAGCUCUUCCAGAAUUUCUCUUUUUUUAAUAUCUCAUAUUUUGCUGGUUAGGGACAUUCUUUUGCUGAGGAAUUGUAAACUUCAGUAGUUGUCAAAACUGGCCUUAUAUAAAAAGGUAAAUCACCUCUGACCUGAGACCGUUUAUCAUCUUGACAAGCAGUAAAGCUGAAUAUUAGAACAAUUGUUUUCUGUAUGUAUUACUUAUUUUUCAUAAAGACCAGUUGGCAAAGUUUCUCAGUUCUACUGGCCAUUCCAACCUCUUGAGGUGCCUCUAGGUGAUGAAAAACUUUGUGAUAUAUUGAUUAUCACUUCUCACCUACAUCAUUUACUAAAGUGGCACACCAGGCCAUAAACUUUUACUUCUCCAGAAGCCAUGCAAUGGAAAAUUGCUGGCCAAACAUGCUGUUUAGUUCACACAGCUUCCACAUUGCUCCCACUGUCUGAUCUGCAGUGUCCCAGCCGCUGUCAUUACAUACAGUGGAACUAACAAUCUUUGUCAACUGUAUCUAAAUUUUCAGAUAAUUCUGGGCAAAUUGCUCAGUAAACCAUAAUUUAUUGUGUAAUUUUUCUAGAAGUACCUCGAAGUAACAGUUACAAUCAUGAGCUCAUUUUAGAAGAGGUGCUACUAAGAUAUAUAUCUUAUUUCUCCUGUGACUACACACUGAGUGAAACAAACAAAAUAGCUUAAUUAUUAUCUUUUAGCAUUGGAGGGUUGAUUAAAUAUGAAGUGAGAUUAAAAACCUACACACAAUUUAUUCAAAGUGACAAAUUAAAUGUAUGUGAAUUAUUCUAUAUAGAAAAGCAAGAUUUCCUAUAUACGGGCUACACACUGUUGAAGGCUAGCAGAAACAGCAAAAAUAGUUCUAUCCAAAUUUUAAGAGAAGUAUUUUCCUUUUACAUAGAUACUCUCCUAAAUUUUUAAAAAAAAAAAAAGAAAAGUAAGACUGCUUUCAUUUACCCCAAUACAGACAUCUGAAUCUCAUCUUCAUCCUCCCUUCACAGAGAAGGAAAAUGUACCUCCAGAGAACAACUGUGUGACACAGUCUAUACAAUAAAAUGUUAAAAUAAGA